GGAGUGGUAUCGAAGUGGUCAUAACGAGGCUGUCUCGAAAACAGUUAGUCGCAAACAGCGGCCCGCGGGUUCGAAUCCCGCUCACUCCGCCA
rnacentral:tRNA from 1 species